UUUGACAUGGCAGGAAGUUUCCAGAGAUGGAUUCGUGCUCGAAAGAGAACCUGCACACAGGUGCUGCAUGGCUGUCGUCAGCUCGUGUCGUGAGAUGUUGGGUUAAGUCCCGCAACGAGCGCAACCCUUGUCAUUAGUUGCUACAUUUAGUUGGGCACUCUAAUGAGACUGCCGGUGACAAACCGGAGGAAGGUGGGGAUGACGUCAAGUCCUCAUGGCCCUUAUAGGUGG
rnacentral:rRNA from 1 species